rnacentral:rRNA from 1 species
CAGGCUUAACACAUGCAAGUCGAGGGGCAUCAGGAAGAAAGCUUGCUUUCUUUGCUGGCGACCGGCGCACGGGUGAGUAACACGUAUCCAACCUGCCCUUUACUCGGGGAUAGCCUUUCGAAAGAAAGAUUAAUACCCGAUAGCAUAAUGAUUCCGCAUGGUUUCAUUAUUAAAGGAUUCCGGUAAAGGAUGGGGAUGCGUUCCAUUAGGUUGUUGGUGAGGUAACGGCCCACCAAGCCUUCGAUGGAUAGGGGUUCUGAGAGGAAGGUCCCCCACAUUGGAACUGAGACACGGCCCAAACUCCUACGGGAGGCAGCAGUGAGGAAUAUUGGUCAAUGGGCGCUAGCCUGAACCAGCCAAGUAGCGUGAAGGAUGAAGGCUCUAUGGGUCGUAAACUUCUUUUAUAUAAGAAUAAAGUGCAGUAUGUAUACUGUUUUGUAUGUAUUAUAUGAAUAAGGAUCGGCUAACUCCGUGCCAGCAGCCGCGGUAAUACGGAGGAUCCGAGCGUUAUCCGGAUUUAUUGGGUUUAAAGGGAGCGUAGGUGGACUGGUAAGUCAGUUGUGAAAGUUUGCGGCUCAACCGUAAAAUUGCAGUUGAUACUGUCAGUCUUGAGUACAGUAGAGGUGGGCGGAAUUCGUGGUGUAGCGGUGAAAUGCUUAGAUAUCACGAAGAACUCCGAUUGCGAAGGCAGCUCACUGGACUGCAACUGACACUGAUGCUCGAAAGUGUGGGUAUCAAACAGGAUUAGAUACCCUGGUAGUCCACACAGUAAACGAUGAAUACUCGCUGUUUGCGAUAUACAGUAAGCGGCCAAGCGAGAGCAUUAAGUAUUCCACCUGGGGAGUACGCCGGCAACGGUGAAACUCAAAGGAAUUGACGGGGGCCCGCACAAGCGGAGGAACAUGUGGUUUAAUUCGAUGAUACGCGAGGAACCUUACCCGGGCUUAAAUUGCAGUGGAAUGAUGUGGAAACAUGUCAGUGAGCAAUCACCGCUGUGAAGGUGCUGCAUGGUUGUCGUCAGCUCGUGCCGUGAGGUGUCGGCUUAAGUGCCAUAACGAGCGCAACCCUUAUCUUCAGUUACUAACAGGUCAUGCUGAGGACUCUGGAGAGACUGCCGUCGUAAGAUGUGAGGAAGGUGGGGAUGACGUCAAAUCAGCACGGCCCUUACGUCCGGGGCUACACACGUGUUACAAUGGGGGGUACAGAAGGCAGCUAGCGGGUGACCGUAUGCUAAUCCCAAAAGCCCCCCUCAGUUCGGAUCGAAGUCUGCAACCCGACUUCGUGAAGCUGGAUUCGCUAGUAAUCGCGCAUCAGCCACGGCGCGGUGAAUACGUUCCCGGGCCUUGUACACACCGCCCGUCAAGCCAUGGGAGCCGGGGGUACCUGAAGUACGUAACCGCAAGGAUCGUCCUAGGGUAAAACUGGUGACUGGGGCUAAGU